rnacentral:rRNA from 1 species
AUUGAACGCUAGCGGGAUGCCUUACACAUGCAAGUCGAACGGAGUGGCGAACGGGUGAGUAAUGUAUAGGAACGUGCCCCGUAGCGGGGGAUAACUACGCGAAAGCGUAGCUAAUACCGCAUACUCUUGGAGCGGCCGAUAUCGGAUUAGCUAGUUGGUGGGGUAACGGCUCACCACGGCGACGACCCGUAGCCGGUUUGAGAGGACGACGAGCCACACGGGGACUGAGACACGGCCCAGACUACUACGGGAGGCAGCAGUGGGGAAUUUUGGACAAUGGGCGAAACCCUGAUCCAGCCAUCCCGCGUGUGAGAUGAAGGCCUUCGGGUGGUAAAGCACUUUUGGCAGGAAAGCGGUACCUGCAGAAUAAGCACCGGCUAACUACGUGCCAGCAGCCGCGGUAAUUC